GGACCCGCACAAGCGGUGGAGCAUGUGGCUUAAUUCGAGGCAACGCGAAGAACCUUACCUGGGCUUGAAAUCAUAUGGACAGUCUAUGAAAGUAGAUUUUCCUUCGGGACUGUAUGACAGGUGCUGCAUGGCUGUCGUCAGCUCGUGCCGUGAGGUGUUCGGUUAAGUCCGGCAACGAGCGCAACCCGUAUCAUUAGUUACCAUCAGGUCAUGCUGGGGACUCUAAUGAGACUGCCCGUGUUAAGCGGGAGGAAGGCGCGGAUGACGUCAAGUCAGUAUGGCCCUUACGUCCAGGGCUGCACACGUGCUACAAUGGCCGGUACAAUGAGACGCAAAACCGCGAGGUGGAGCAAAUCUACAAAACCGGUCUUAGUUCGGAUUGUAGUCUGCAACUCGACUACAUGAAGCCGGAAUCGCUAGUAAAGGCGUAAUCAGCUACGACG
rnacentral:rRNA from 1 species